rnacentral:rRNA from 1 species
GACGUAGGGCGCGAGCGUUGUCCGGAUUUAUUGGGCGUAAAGAGCUCGUAGGCGGCUUGUCGCGUCGACUGUGAAAUCCCGCGGCUCAACUGCGGGUCUGCAGUCGAUACGGGCAGGCUAGAGCUCGGUAGGGGAGACUGGAAUUCCUGGUGUAGCGGUGAAAUGCGUAGAGAUCCGGAGGAACACCAGUGGCGAAGGCGACCCGCUGGGUCACACCUGACACUGAGACGCGACAGCAUGGGGAGCGAACGGG